GCGAGAGUGGCGGAAUUGGCAGACGCACCAGACUUAGGAUCUGGCGCCGAAAGGCAUGGGGGUUCAAAUCCCCCCUCUCGCA
rnacentral:tRNA from 1 species